GGGCCCGUAGUUCAAUGGUAGAAUGUCGCCCUUGCAAGGCGGAGGUUUCGGGUUCGAAUACGGGUUCAAAUAAUAUUGCCCGUUAGAAAGUCCCGACGGGUCCA
rnacentral:tRNA from 1 species